UUAAGUGAAGCCAAAGUAGAGGCUUAUCACUGUUAAUGAUAGAAUUGGGGUUACCCCCCACUUAAG
rnacentral:tRNA from 1 species